UACGAAGGGGGCUAGCGUUGCUCGGAAUCACUGGGCGUAAAGGGUGCGUAGGCAGGUCUUUAAGUCAGGGGUGAAAUCCUGGAGCUCAACUCCAGAACUGCCUUUGAUACUGAGGAUCUUGAGUUCGGGAGAGGUGAGUGGAACUGCGAGUGUAGAGGUGAAAUUCGUAGAUAUUCGCAAGAACACCAGUGGCGAAGGCGGCUCACUGGCCCGAUACUGACGCUGAGGCACGAAAGCGUGGGAAGCAAACAGGG
rnacentral:rRNA from 1 species